rnacentral:misc_RNA from 1 species
UAACCACUCAAGCCUCGGCUUGGUCUUGGGGUUCGCGGUCUCGCGUCCCUUAAAAUCAGUGGCGGUGCCGUCUGGCUCUAAGCGUAGUAAUUCUCUCGCUAUAGGGUCCCGGCGGUUACCUGCCAGAACUCUCCAUUUUUUAC